rnacentral:rRNA from 1 species
GGUAGCUAUGUUCGGAAAAGAUAACCGCUGAAAGCAUCUAAGCGGGAAACUUGCCUCAAGAUGAGAUCUCACUGGGUACUUGAUUCCCCUGAAGGGCCGUCGAAGACUACGACGUUGAUAGGCUGGGUGUGUAAGCGUUGUGAGGCGUUGAGCUAACCAGUACUAAUUGCCCGUGAGGCUUGACCAU